rnacentral:rRNA from 1 species
UACGUAGGGGGCAAGCGUUGUCCGGAUUUAUUGGGCGUAAAGAGCGUGUAGGCGGUUUGGUAGGUCCGCUGUGAAAACUCGAGCUCAACCUCGAGACGCCGGUGGAAACCAUCAGACUAGAGUCCGGAAGAGGAGAGUGGAAUUCCUGGUGUAGCGGUGGAAUGCGCAGAUAUCAGGAGGAACACCAAUGGCGAAGGCAGAUCUCUGGGCCGUAACUGACGCUGAGGAGCGAAAGCAUGGGGAGCGAACAGG